AUUGAACGCUGGCGGCAGGCCUAACACAUGCAAGUCGAGCGGGGUUUUCGGACCUAGCGGCGGACGGGUGCGUAACGCGUGGGAAUCUGUCUCUUGCUUCGGAAUAACAGUUAGAAAUGACUGCUAAUACCGGAUGAUGUCUUCGGACCAAAGAUUUAUCGGCAAGAGAUGAGCCCGCGUAGGAUUAGGUAGUUGGUGGGGUAAAGGCCUACCAAGCCGACGAUCCUUAGCUGGUCUGAGAGGAUGAUCAGCCACACUGGGACUGAGACACGGCCCAGACUCCUACGGGAGGCAGCAGUGGGGAAUAUUGGACAAUGGGGGCAACCCUGAUCCAGCAAUGCCGCGUGAGUGAUGAAGGCCUUAGGGUUGUAAAGCUCUUUUACCAGGGAUGAUAAUGACAGUACCUGGAGAAUAAGCUCCGGCUAACUCCGUGCCAGCAGCCGCAGUAACAC
rnacentral:rRNA from 1 species